rnacentral:rRNA from 1 species
AGUGAACGCUGGCGGUAGGCCUAACACAUGCAAGUCGAACGGCAGCACAGUAAGAGCUUGCUCUUACGGGUGGCGAGUGGCGGACGGGUGAGGAAUACAUCGGAAUCUACUUUUUCGUGGGGGAUAACGUAGGGAAACUUACGCUAAUACCGCAUACGACCUACGGGUGAAAGCAGGGGAUCUUCGGACCUUGCGCGAUUGAAUGAGCCGAUGUCGGAUUAGCUAGUUGGCGGGGUAAAGGCCCACCAAGGCGACGAUCCGUAGCUGGUCUGAGAGGAUGAUCAGCAAAACUGGAACUGAGACACGGUCCAGACUCCUACGGGAGGCAGCAGUGGGGAAUAUUGGACAAUGGGCGAAAGCCUGAUCCAGCCAUACCGCGUGGGUGAAGAAGGCCUUCGGGUUGUAAAGCCCUUUUGUUGGGAAAGAAAAGCAGCAGGUUAAUACCCCGCUGUUCUGACGGUACCCAAAGAAUAAGCACCGGCUAACUUCGU